rnacentral:rRNA from 1 species
GAAGAGAGAGUUCAAGAGUACGUGAAACCGUCUGGGAGUAAACGGGUGGUACCCGAAAGUACGAAAGGGGAGAUUCAGGUCUCGCCGCGCGUCGGGCGGCGCCCGCGACCAGAGAUGGCGUCUUUGCGGCCGGGGGGCAACCCUCGGACCGGGGNNNGCGCCACUCCGCGGCCGCCGUCUUUGUCCCGGCGCCGGAGUGACGCACUUCUCCCACAGUAGGACGUCGCAACCCGUCGGACGCCGGCCUAAGGCCUCGGGUGGAGUCUGUGCAGCCCGUUCACGCUGGCUGCGCACGACCCCGGGGAUCCCGGCCGGGUGCCCGACGGUACGAAGCGAGGAAGGAGUCGACGCGCCGCUCUUUUGUCGGCGUCCGGUCCUCCGCAAGCGCCCGCGGGAGUCCGGGUUUCCGGACCCGGUCCGAUCCCGGACCCUCCGCGGGGCUGUUUGCGAUUUGGAGGUGUCCUCGGAC